ACUGAUCCAGAAGGAGACUCUCACAGUACCAAUACUAUAAAAUUUGCAGAACAACUUACUGGAGCCUUUUCAAAUCAAUUCUUGAGAGAGGAAUAUUUAAAAGAAGAAAUUCCUUUCUAUGAAAAAGGUUCAUUUUGUAUAAAUAUCCUUGUUUUCCAAUGGCAUGACAAAGAGAGCAAAGGGGAGGAGAGAAAAAGAAGAAGAAAAAAGAAGAAAGGAUAAAAGAGUAUGAAAGGAAAGUGGAGAAAGAAGCAGCUCUUUAUUUUUUAUUCACAUGGUUUUACUAUUUGUAUGCCAACAUUUUGAUACAUUGGUUUUUAUAAAUCCAUUUUUCAUUAAACAAUGAUCAAUUA